CCUUAUCAAGAGCGGCGGAGGGAAUAGGCCCUGUGAUGCCCGGCAACCCUGGCGGAGGCUUUGAUGAUUCAAGGCUUCGGCGGAAGGUGCUACAUCCUACAGAAUGCGGGAAACGUAUUUCUGAAAGAUGAGG
rnacentral:ncRNA from 1 species